rnacentral:lncRNA from 1 species
UAGCGUAUAUGCGGCGUGUAACGUUUAUUUUAUAAUCAUUGAUCAUUACGUUUCAAAGCGAAUUCGGGGGUCCGACACACGUUGCGUUGCAUUUACAUU